ACAAACUCAACUCUCAGGAACUUUGUAGAUUAUUAAAGGAUGCUGGCAAUUUUCCUGUUCACUACCGUACUGGAAAAGGAGGGCUGCUGGAGGUUGAUAUGGACAAGCUUGCAAGAUACACACAAAGUCAUUAUAUCUUGAAUACGACGGCUUUUUCAAAAAAACAAAUAAAGCGAUGUGGUGCCUGGAUGCUAUCCUAGCAGUGUUUGUUUCAAAUAUUAUAGAAGG